UCAAAUAGAAUUGUGUUGCAAAGUCUGAAGUAAUCUCAAAUGCCAUAUUCAUCUUUAUUUCACACCCUUAUCUAGAGAGCUACUUCAAAGACAAUGGAACCCGUCCCACUAGGGCAGCCAUCUUGGCAUCCCACCUGCAUAUAUAGGCAUGAACUCUGUGAAGGUAUCACCAUUGCCAGUUCAUCCUUGUGACUCCUUUCAGCAACAUAGAACAAGUCUUAGAAGAACCAUGAAGUUCAUCUGUCUUUUCUUUGCUGUGGUCUUCCUUGGCAUUGCCCAGGGAGAUGAAGCAGAUCUGGACCAAGCAGAGAAGCAAGAGGCAGAGGCUUUGGAAGAUCUGAGUGGUCCUCAGGAUGAAAACCCAGAUGGUUAUGAUGAAGCUUUGGAGGAUGAAGGAAACAUGCAACGGAAGGAUCGUACAAGGCAAUGUUGGCGUUCUGGUGGUAGAUGCUUUUUAGCCCUCUGCCCUCGUGGAACUACUCGCAUUGGAAAAUGCACCUUUUCAUAUCUCUGCUGUAAAGGUGAAGUCUGUGUUCCUCAUUAAGACAUCUCACGUUUAGCAGAAAACCUCUCAGACCCACUCUUCCUAGGCAUGGGACAAGUGCAAGUGUGGAUGAGCUCUGAGUGUUAGUUGCUGUAAUUCACCCUUUGACCACCGGGUGAAGGGCAGCUAUUUAAUUACAGGAUGAUAUCCGAUGUUAUUCAGUGUAGUCCCAUUGAUUUCAAUGGGCCUGCCAUGAGCAUGACUGUUGGAACUGAUCCAGCACAUAUAUGUAACACUAUAUACAGUGGACCCUCCGGAUACAGACUUAAUUCGUUCUGGGGGUCCAUUCACACCCCAAAAAUUAUGUAUAUAGAGGCAUGCUGCUGCUCAUGCAUGUGCUACAGAACCCGGAAGUAUACAGGCCGUGGCCGUAACCCAAAUAUUCCGUAUCCAGAGGGAUACAUAAGUAGAGGUAUGACUGUAUUCUCAAUAUGUGUGAUCAUGACUAAACCACCUCUUCUUCCUCUUUUCUUUAGCAAAAUGAAGUAACUGGGAGGGAUUUCAAAGCUGGACCACUGUUUGAUCAUCGGUGGAAGAAAUUUAAUAUCAAGUAAUCAUCUCUGUUAAUUUGGGCUUCAAGGAAUCUGGCAUGGUGCGAGUCUAUCCUUGCUAAGUCAAUAAUCUCUUCCUUUCAGCUGUUACUACUACAAAUAAACAAUCAACACAAACAUUGUGCUUUCUUAUUCCUUCAUAAUAAACAACUCAUUACUCUAAGAGAUCUAGUUAUGCAUGCUUCUGGCCAGACUAAAA
rnacentral:lncRNA from 1 species